GACGAACGCUGGCGGCGUGCUUAACACAUGCAAGUCGAACGGAAAGGCCCUGCUUUUGCGGGGUGCUCGAGUGGCGAACGGGUGAGUAACACGUGAGUAACCUGCCCUUGAAUUUGGGAUAACUUCAGGAAACUGGGGCUAAUACCGGAUAGGAGCUCCUGCUGCAUGGUGGGGGUUGGAAAGUUUCGGCGGUUGGGGAUGGACUCGCGGCUUAUCAGCUUGUUGGUGGGGUAGUGGCUUACCAAGGCUUUGAUGGGUAGCCGGCCUGAGAGGGUGACCGGCCACAUUGGGACUGAGAUACGGCCCAGACUCCUACGGGAGGCAGCAGUGGAGAAUAUUGCACAAUGGGCGGAAGCCUGAUGCAGCAACGCCGCGUGCGGGAUGACGGCCUUCGGGUUGUAAACCGCUUUCGCCUGUGACGAAGCGUGAGUGACGGUAAUGGGUAAAAAAGCACCGGCUAACUACGUG
rnacentral:rRNA from 1 species